UACGUAGGGUGCAAGCGUUAUCCGGAUUCACUGGGCUUAAAGGGUGCGUAGGCGGUCAGGUAAGUCCGUGGUGAAAUCUCUGAGCUUAACUCAGAAACUGCCAUGGAUACUAUUUGUCUUGAAUAUUGUGGAGGUAAGCGGAAUAUGUCAUGUAGCGGUGAAAUGCUUAGAUAUGACAUAGAACACCAAUUGCGAAGGCAGCUUACUAGACAGUUAUUGACGCUGAGGCACGAAAGCGUGGGGAUCAAACAGG
rnacentral:rRNA from 1 species